rnacentral:rRNA from 1 species
AUGACCGCAUUUGGUCCAUCCCCGUCCGUUUGGUACCAAACGGAUAGAAAACGCGCCGACGCAAACGUUCACUUCGUCCGCGACCCAUUUCUGGCUCAAAUUUGGGCCGGGUUUGCGUCGGAACGGACAGGGCACGGACACGCGCGACGCCCACACUUGUCCUCCCCUGGCCCGUCCGUCAGGGGCACAACCUCCCCAUUUCCCUCUUCUUCUCCAAAUAACUUCCCGCCUCCCGCCAUGGCCACCGAGCCAAAGGACGCCGCCGCCGCCAUCCCGGACACCAUUGUCGUCCUCCCCUCGAAGAAGAAGAAGCCGAAGAAGGUGCUCACGCUGACGCCAAGAAAAAGAGGAGCAAAUGAAGGCCUACAUGGAGCUAAAAACGAAGAAGCUCGAGAUGGAGGAGGCCGUCAAAAGGAGGAAGCCGUCAAAACGAAGAAGCUCGAGAUCGAGUGUUGA